CUUACUGGGCCCUACAGGGUCACUAUUUUGUAUGUGGCCGAAAGGCUUACAAGGUAUUGCCAGCCAAUUGAACAGGUAGCUGUUAUAUAGCUUAUGAAGUUCCUCAUCUUUCAAUAACCACCACACUACCCAAAGAAAAGAUUAGAAAUACCCAAGAUACCUCUGUUAAGUCACAAAAAAAAACCCUGCGGCGAUUCAAUGUGGCCUUGAAGGGCAAUGCUAAAAAUCCCCUCACAACUGAAAAGCUUACAGGGUGCUCCAUACUGGAAAUUGUGCCACUGAUUACCAGGCCAGCCAUAGCAUGCAUAGGCUGAUAUAUUGUAAGGCUUCAAAUGGUGCUUAAAAAAGUAGCCUUAAAAUUAAAGAACUCGAUUCGUGAUCUAGGGUCUGCAGUAGUAACAUUAAAUAAAAAGGUACAGCAGCUCAGAACGUAUUCCCUCCAAAACAGGCUGGCCUUGAACUACCUUUUGGCAUCCCAAGGCGGUGUUUGUGCCCUUGUUGGGUCCCAAUGUUGUGUAUAUGUAAAUGACAGAAGUUAUAAAAUUUAUAAUAAGGUAGUACAGGCUAAGGCCCAUGCCCGAGCUGGAGCACAGGCUGCCUACACUGACCCCAAGAGUAAUUGGUUGCAAACCUUGUUUUCAGGCUGGGGGUUGUCAUCUUGGCUUGGUGGUUUAUUUAGUCUGUUAUUGAAAAUUCUCUUUU